rnacentral:rRNA from 1 species
GCGAUUGGAUUUCGUUUAAGUUAACUUGAUGUUUUUGACCUUUUGUUUCGUUGGUUACUCGUGCGAGUUGUGGCGUGCCUUCCACGUUCAACCCACGGGGGUUCGUUAUGAGGUGGAGAGGUAGGGAGGAUCCGAGGAUGAUGAUCUAUACUUUGGUGUGGCGCUGCCCAAGGCGUUGGUUGAAGGGACAGCUAUGAGGCAAGGGCAAUGAUAAACAAUAGGGGUGUGUGCGUGGGCGUGCCGCUGCUUCGUCAGUCUUGCGUAGUCGUCGCCAUCUUCUUCUAACCUAACCUAUCGCACCCGCUCCCGCUCGGGAGUGGCAGCAGUGGCGGCUAUCCAGGCUACUCCUUGGGCGGGCCGGCCAUGGAGGACGCGCAGCGGUGGGCGCGGCACGCGAGGAGCAGGCCCGAGCCGCCGAGGCCGCGGCCCCGGAGGUGGAGGCGGUGCAGGGGGCAGCGGCGGAGCAGGCCCCCGGCGGGCGCGUCGGCGCCGCCGCCGUACGAGGAGGCCCGGUGCAGGGGCGGGGGCGGGAGGCGGCAGCGCCGGCGGCGCACGACCCUCAGGGCGUGCGACGCGGCGCUGCCCCUCCUGCUGACCCUCCUCCAGCAGCGGCGCCCGCUGCGCCGCCGAGGCCCGCGGCCGCUGCGCCUCCACCUGUCGCUGAUGUCCCAACAGAAGACCAGGGGUGGGUGGCCCCUACUUCAGGCGCGGCGGAAGAGAUCGUAGGUUCUCCACAAACUCCCAAGAAUAAUACUACACUUAAGUCUACUUUGACUCUUUGUUGAUCGUAACGACAGGUUGAGCCUCGUAAGAAGUAGUUGGUUAAGUAGUCCUAGUCUGCUAACCCAGCUUGGACGACGUAUACAAGAGUUGAGAUGACGAGAAGACUGGUCCCUCGUAUCCUUACAAAACCUACGGAAGGCAGAUAACGUUUCUCUGGGAUUACAAGUCUUUUACCAAUACAGGAACAGUACACUAUCCUGACAGACCCUACGACAUUACUUAUUGCUCCGUCACGUUCUUAAGUCCUCUAGAAAAGUCCUACCGUUUCUUCAAUUAUCUUUCCCUUUGAGAACACCGGGACGACGUCACGAAUUCACCUAGGAUCGGUUGUGGGUCCGUUUUUAUUGCCUUAAGAAGCUAUUAUAUCACUUCUAACAGUCGUACGAGAAGGUGGGAGUUUCGCUACUUCUAUUCGGACUAGACAUGUCGCUACGUCACUUCCACAGGAAGUACGAGAGCCACAAGCAGAAGUAGCACCACCGGCAACGAGCAUGGUUCACUCGUGUUGUUGGGCAGCUGAAAUUUAAAGUCACAAAAGUACGGGAGAAAAAAAAAGCUCUUUUGCGUUUUCUGAAAACGCAAAGUAACGUAACUUUUCUUCCCCAAACCAUGUUAGGAGGAUCCUCCGUCUAAAUGUGCCUCUCAUGUACGUGUAAUCACCUGUAGGGUCCAAACACCGUUCUACCGGGCCUCGGGGUUACGCGGUCGAGAACGGGUCCAAAAGUACGGGAGAAUCAAUACCACGUCCCCGUGUAGUAGAUCACUCGCAUCAAAUCAGUUCUAACUAGUGCCUGAACCAAACUUUCCGGGGGCUUAAAUGUAACGGGCACACCAUUGGUACCAACUAGCAUCAAUUUACAAAUUCGAACGUACGUCACACGAAUAGAAUAAAAUAAAGGACCACGAAAACCUAUGUCAAUACUCGGCACCCUAAAGCUUCACACCACUAACGUUCUAAAGAUGCUUGUGCAAUACAUCCUGUAGUGUCCGUGUGCUUUGAACAUGUAACUAAUAAUGACCCGACAUUAGUAAACGGGUACUUUGACAACAUUUCCAUAACAAACAAAACUCAGACAAAAAGCAAAGACAUUGACUUUCAGUUACCCCUAAGAAGUAGCACAUUACGAAAGGUUGGGCCACCGGGACGUAUAUCUCGAACUCGUCGCGGUCGCUCAUCAAAGUCUGCUAUCUACCUUACGACUUUUCUUAACCUUUUAGAAUGGUGCUUUACAUAUAUAAGACGAAUUUCAACGUUAGAAAGUGGUAAGGAACAAGUACUAAGCUUAGCUUUUGUGUCAACGGUGUUUACUCCCUACGUUCGGUAGGUUGGGUUACUUACUUGGUUUUUUCUUUUCUUUUCUUUGUUGUUUGUUUGUUCAAAGUCGGCCACUAGUACCACGGCCACGGGAGCAGCCACUCCUAAAGCUCGUCCUCUCUCACGCCCUGCGCCGGCAGUUACUACGACCGGCACACGUGCGGGACGCGGUCACGCGCGUGCGUCGUGAGGUGGAACCCAUAGUACGGGGGUGGGUGAAAGGGGAGCCGGUGGUAGACGGCAUGCGGCCGCUAUAGUUAGAGGAAGUGGUCCGAUGGCCCCAGUAGGGCCAGGCGCUCAUACGGCCUGUGCAGCCACUAGUCUUCGUCGAAGAGCCGCGGUUACCGUCGACGCUAGAGGGGGCGGCGUCACAGCCGCAACUACAAUAUCCGGACGGGCCAGAGCAGCCGUCGGUGCCACCGCUACUGGCCCUACACCGGCCUCCGCUACUAGCCCACCUCGUGGCUCCCCAGCUGCGCGCACUGGAGCGGCUGCUUGGGUUCCCGACGGCGCAGCCCCCUUCCCGCGCGUCACUCCUCCGCGCGCAGGAACGGCGUCUCCGGCUGCCGCCACCGCGGCCGCUCCGACUACUCCCUCUGCUCGACGAACAACUGGAACGGCUGGUCGUGGUAGAGGUGCUGGAGGUACCACUCGCGCAGCCACUGCGCCUCCGGCAACGCCUUGACGCCGAGCUGCGGCUGCGCGACGUCGGUCCUCAACUAGAGGCCCGGCGGCGGCACGUGCUCGUGCCCCGCGUCCGGCUGCGUCCUCUCCUCCUGGUCCAGCGCCUAGUGCCUGCGGACGUCGAGGCCGCUGAAGUACCGGCGCGGCGGCAUGAAGUGGUGGUGGCAGAACGGGAACUUGGCGACCUACUUCCCCUCGCGGAGGCUGUCCUGCAGGUGUGCCAAGUCGCGGCGCCUGCGCCGGACGCGACCGCGGUCCCUCCUCCUCCGGCUCUGCGCCUCGGGCGCCGCAGGUACCCCGCGCCUGCUCCGCUCCCCGGCCUGCGCCCGCCGCAAAUCCAAUCCUAAACCCUCCCUGCGCCUCCCCUCCUGCUCCCGCCCCACCCCGAAACAAUCCUCGUAACGACGCCGGCUGCCCCUCGGAACCACAAGCGCGGCGGCCCCACGAACGGAUCUGCCUUCCCCAACCACCAGCCGCGACC